rnacentral:rRNA from 1 species
CGGGUGAGUAAUGCCUAGGAAUCUGCCUGGUAGUGGGGGACAACGUUUCGAAAGGAACGCUAAUACCGCAUACGUCCUACGGGAGAAAGCAGGGGACAUUCGGGCCUUGCGCUAUCAGAUGAGCCUAGGUCGGAUUAGCUAGUUGGUGAGGUAAUGGCUCACCAAGGCGACGAUCCGUAACUGAUCUGAGAGGAUGAUCAGUCACACUGGAACUGAGACACGGUCCAGACUCCUACGGGAGGCAGCAGCC